AACGCAUAUUGCGCUCUCUGGUAUUCCGGGGAGCAUGCCUGUUUCAGUAUCAUUUGAUCAUCUCAAAAUCAGUUUCGAUUUUGGAUUAAUGGGUCAAUAUUGCUGGUGAUAAUAUGUCCCAGCUGGCCUGAAAUUGAGAUAAUUUUGCAGGAAAGCAUUCAGAUUGCUUUUGCCAAAGACGGAAAAGCUUAUUAGUUGACUCUUGUCAUGCUAGCUUGAAAGACUUGGACAAAAAAUGCGUCUGAUUCAAAUCUUGAUCUGAAAUCAGGUAGGAUUACCCGCUGAACUUAA
rnacentral:misc_RNA from 1 species